AGCCAAAGGGAGACUGUGAUGCUCCGGGGGAACGCGGUCACCUACACACGUCCCCGGCGUUGAGUCAGUGGUGAGACCGGCCCACAUGGCC
rnacentral:ncRNA from 1 species